rnacentral:rRNA from 1 species
AUGCCCGAAAGGGUGACGAAGCGACGCCGCGUGGGUGAGGAAGGCCCUCGGGUUGUAAAGCCCUGUCAGGAGUUAAGAAAUGUAGGUGUGCUAAUAUCACGCCUAUUUGACGAAGGCUCCAAAGGAAGUCACGGCUAACUCUGUGCCAGCAGCCGCGGUAAUACAGAGGUGGCAAGCGUUGUUCGGAAUCAUUGGGCGUAAAGAGCACGUAGGUGGGUUUGUAAGUCAGAUGUGAAAGCCUCCUGUUCAACGGGAGAAUUGCAUCUGAAACUACUGAUCUUGAGUGUAGGAGGGGAGAAUGGAACUUCUGGUGGAGCGGUGAGAUGCGUAGAUAUCAGAAGGAACGCCGGCGGCGAAAGCGAUUCUCUGGCCUAUUACUGACACUCAGUGUGCGAAAGCUAGGGGAGCAAACGGGAUUAGAUACCCCGGUAGUCCUAGCCGUAAACGAUGGGCACUAAGUAGAGGGGU